CCUACGGGAGGCAGCAGUGAGGAAUAUUGGUCAAUGGGCGCGAGCCUGAACCAGCCAAGUAGCGUGAAGGAUGACUGCCCUACGGGUUGUAAACUUCUUUUAUAUGGGAAUAAAAUGUUCCACGUGUGGGAUUUUGUAUGUACCAUAUGAAUAAGGAUCGGCUAACUCCGUGCCAGCAGCCGCGGUAAUACGGAGGAUCCGAGCGUUAUCCGGAUUUAUUGGGUUUAAAGGGAGCGUAGGUGGAUUGUUAAGUCAGUUGUGAAAGUUUGCGGCUCAACCGUAAAAUUGCAGUUGAAACUGGCAGUCUUGAGUACAGUAGAGGUGGGCGGAAUUCGUGGUGUAGCGGUGAAAUGCAUAGAUAUCGCGCAGAACUCCGAUUGCGAAGGCAGCGUACCGGCGCCGGACUGACGCUGAGGCACGAAAGCGUGGGUAUCGAACAGGAUUAGAUACCCGAGUAGUC
rnacentral:rRNA from 1 species